ACGAACGCUGGCGGCGUGCUUAACACAUGCAAGUCGAACGGAAAGGCCCUGCUUUUGUGGGGUGCUCGAGUGGCGAACGGGUGAGUAACACGUGAGUAACCUGCCCUCGACUUUGGGAUAACUUCAGGAAACUGGGGCUAAUACCUGAUAGGAGCUCCUGCUGCAUGGUGGGGGUUGGAAAGUUUCGGCGGUUGGGGCUGGACUCGCGGCUUAUCAGCUUGUUGGUGGGGUAGUGGCUUACCAAGGCUUUGACGGGUAGCCGGCCUGAGAAGGUGACCGGCCACAUGAGGACUGAGAUACGGCCCAGACUCCUACGGGAGGCAGCAGUGGGGAAUAUUGCACAGUGAGCGGAAGCCUGAUGCGACAACGCCGCGUGCGGGAUGACGGCCUUCGGGGUGUAAACCGCUUUCGCCUGUGACGAAGCGUGAGUGACGGUAAUGGGUAAAGAAGCACCGGCUAACUACGUG
rnacentral:rRNA from 1 species